UACGUAGGGUGCGAGCGUUGUCCGGAAUUAUUGGGCGUAAAGGGCUCGUAGGCGGUUUGUCGCGUCGGGAGUGAAAACACCGGGCUUAACUCGGUGCUUGCUUUCGAUACGGGCAGACUAGAGGCAUGCAGGGGAGAACGGAAUUCCUGGUGUAGCGGUGAAAUGCGCAGAUAUCAGGAGGAACACCGGUGGCGAAGGCGGGUCUCUGGGCCGAUAUUGACGCUGAGGAGCGAAAGCGUGGGGAGCGAACAGG
rnacentral:rRNA from 1 species